UACAGAGGUCUCAAGCGUUGUUCGGAUUCAUUGGGCGUAAAGGGUGCGUAGGCGGCGCGGUAAGUCGGGUGUGAAAUCUCGGAGCUUAACUCCGAAACUGCAUUCGAUACUGCCGUGCUUGAGGACUGGAGAGGAGACUGGAAUUUACGGUGUAGCGGUGAAAUGCGUAGAUAUCGUAAGGAAGACCAGUGGCGAAGGCGGGUCUCUGGACAGUUCCUGACGCUGAGGCACGAAGGUCCAGGGGAGCAAACGGGAUUAGAACGUACCUAGUCAGUCCAA
rnacentral:rRNA from 1 species